rnacentral:rRNA from 1 species
AUUGAACGCUGGCGGCAGGCCUAACACAUGCAAGUCGAGCGAGCGGCGGACGGGUGAGUAAUGUCUGGGAAACUGCCCGAUGGAGGGGGAUAACUACUGGAAACGGUAGCUAAUACCGCAUACUAUCAGAUGUGCCCAGAUGGGAUUAGCUAGUAGGUGAGGUAAUGGCUCACCUAGGCGACGAUCCCUAGCUGGUCUGAGAGGAUGACCAGCCACACUGGAACUGAGACACGGUCCAGACUCCUACGUGAGGCAGCAGUGGGGAAUAUUGCACAAUGGGCGCAAGCCUGAUGCAGCCAUGCCGCGUGUAUGAAGAAGGCCUUCGGGUUGUAAAGUACUUUCAGCGGGGAGGCGUUACUCGCAGAAGAAGCACCGGCUAACUCCGUGCCAGCAGCCGCGGUAAUUC